rnacentral:rRNA from 1 species
UACGGAGGGUGCAAGCGUUAUCCGGAUUCACUGGGUUUAAAGGGUGCGUAGGCGGGCAGGUAAGUCAGUGGUGAAAUCUCCGGGCUUAACCCGGAAACUGCCAUUGAUACUAUUUGUCUUGAAUAUUGUGGAGGUAAGCGGAAUAUGUCAUGUAGCGGUGAAAUGCUUAGAUAUGACAUAGAACACCAAUUGCGAAGGCAGCUUACUACACAAUGAUUGACGCUGAGGCACGAAAGCGUGGGGAUCAAACAGG